CACCUAACAGCUAGCCCCCACCCUAAACACAAAAAACAACUAUCAAUACCCCCUAAGACACUCCUUACCAACGAAACAAACCAUUUUUCCCCCCAAGUACGGGCGACAGAAAAGGGCCCCAGAGCUAUAGACAAAGUACCGCAAGGGAACGCUGAAAAAGAAAUGAAACAACCCAGCAAAGUAAGAAAAAGCAGAGAUUAAACCUCGUACCUUUUGCAUCAUGAUUUAGCUAGAAAACUUUAGGCAAAGAGCACUAUAGUCUAACUCCCCGAAACUGGACGAGCUACUCCAAGACAGCCUUUAUAGGGCACACCCGUCUCUGUGGCAAAAGAGUGGGAAGAGCUUCGAGUAGAGGUGACAAACCUACCGAGUCCAGUUAUAGCUGGUUGCCCGAGAACUGAGUCUGAGCUCAGCUUUUCGACUUCUUAACUCACCUUUUAAAAACCAAACCGACCCUGAGAAGUCUAAAAAGUUAAUCAAAGGGGGAACAGCCCCUUUGAUUAAAGAAACAACUUUUUCAGGAGAAUAAGGAUCAUAAUAACUAAGGCCACAUGUUCAGGUGGGCCUAAAAGCAGCCACCCUACCGAAAGCGUUAAAGCUCAAACAUACCUACGCCAUCAAUACCGAUACUACAUCCUAACCCCUGUUAUAUACCGGGCCUUUCUAUGCCCCCAUAGAAGAGACCAUGCUAAUAUGAGUAAUAAGGGGCCCAACGACCCCCUCCAAGCACAAGUGUACAUCGGAACGAACCCCCGCCGAAAUACAACGGACCCAACCAAAGAGGGUAAUGAAUACCAAACAAAACAACCAGAAGAACACUCACUGCCCCACCGUUAACCCCACACUGGUGUGCCCAAUCGGAAAGACUUAAAGAAAAAGAAGGAACUCGGCAAACUCCCAAGCCUCGCCUGUUUACCAAAAACAUCGCUUCUUGCAAAAACAACGAAUAAGAAGCCUCGCCUGCCCUGUGACUAUAUGUUUAACGGCCGCGGUAUUUUGACCGUGCGAAGGUAGCGCAAUCACUUGUCUCUUAAAUGGGGACCCGUAUGAAUGGCACAACGAGGGCUUAACUGUCUCCUUUCUCAAGUCAAUGAAAUUGACCUCCCCGUGCAGAGGCGGGCAUAAAGACAUAAGACGAGAAGACCCUAUGGAGCUUCAGACAUAAAACAGCUCAUGUCAAUCACCUUAAAACAAAAAAACAAACUAAAUAAGCCCUGUUCAAAUGUCUUUGGUUGGGGCGACCGCGGGGUAACAAGCAACCCCCAUGUAGAAUAAAAACACCCUUUUUUAAACCAAGAAUAACCACUCUAAUAAACAGAACCUCUGACUAACCAUGAUCCGGCUCAACCGAUCAACGAACCGAGUUACCCUAGGGAUAACAGCGCAAUCCUCUUUUAGAGUCCAUAUCGACAAGAGGGUUUACGACCUCGAUGUUGGAUCAGGACAUCCUAAUGGUGCAGCCGCUAUUAAGGGUUCGUUUGUUCAACGAUUAAAGUCCUACGUGAUCUGAGUUCAGACCGGAGCAAUCCAGGUCAGUUUCUAUCUAUGAAGUGCCCUUUCCUAGUACGAAAGGACCGGAAAGAAGAGGCCCCUGCUAAAAACAUGCCCCUCUCUCACCUAUUGAACCAAACUAAAACAGAUAAGAGAGCACACAAAGCAGUCAAAGAACAUGACACACCAC
rnacentral:rRNA from 1 species